rnacentral:rRNA from 1 species
CCAACCUCCCCCACAGUAGCGGAUAGCCCGGCGAAAGUCGGAUUAAUACGCUAUGUGGUGCAGUAUUGGCAUCAUGGCCGCACGAAAGAUUUAUCGCUGUGGGAUGGGGAUGCGUCUGAUUAGCUUGUCGGCGGGGUAACGGCCCACCGAGGCGACGAUCAGUAGGGGUUCUGAGAGGAAGGUCCCCCACAUUGGUACUGAGACACGGACCAAACUCCUACGGGAGGCAGCAGUGAGGAAUAUUGGUCAAUGGCCGGAAGGCUGAACCAGCCAAAAGUAGCGUGCAGGACGACCGGCCCUACGGGUUGUAAACUGUCUUUUAGUAGGGGAAUAAAGUGUGGUACGUGUACCGUUUUGUAUGUACCCUAUGAAUAAGGACCGGCUAAUUCCGUGCCAGCCGCUGC